UAUGAAACAAUGCUACAAUCCUACACCAAAUGCUGAGCACCCAAUGAGUUGAGCAAGUUCCUGAGGAAGCUGGACCCCAAGACACUGCAAACAAAGCCACUGCAGGGGACAGUAACCCCGAGGAACAGGCGGGAUUCCACACACCGCACGGGCGAAGGCCAAAGGGAGACCAAUGGACAGGGUAUGUUCUAGACA